rnacentral:rRNA from 1 species
GACGAACGCUGGCGGCGUGCUUAACACAUGCAAGUCGAGCGGUAAGGCCCUUUCGGGGGUACACGAGCGGCGAACGGGUGAGUAACACGUGGGUGACCUGCCCUCAGCUCUGGGAUAAGCCUGGGAAACCGGGUCUAAUACCGGAUAUGACUCCAUGACGCAUGUUGUGGGGUGGAAAGCCUUGUGCGGCUGAGGAUGGGCCCGCGGCCUAUCAGCUUGUUGGUGGGGGAUGGCCUACCAAGGCGACGACGGGUAGCCGGCCUGAGAGGGCGACCGGCCACACUGGGACUGAGACACGGCCCAGACUCCUACGGGAGGCAGCAGU